AGUUCAGGUUUCUCUUCAUUGACGUAUAAAUCUUUCGCCUUUUACUAAAGAUUGUUGGAGAGAAAUGUUAAUGAGUUCAAUAUAUUUUUGUAGGCUUUGCUCUAGCUGAGCU